CAGUCGCCGCGGUAAUACGUAGGUGGCAAGCGUUGUCCGGAAUUAUUGGGCGUAAAGGGCUCGCGGGCGGUUUCUUAAGUCUGAUGUGAAAGCCCCCGGCUCAACCGGGGAGGGUCAUUGGAAACUGGGAAACUUGAGUGCAGAAGAGGAGAGUGGAAUUCCACGUGUAGCGGUGAAAUGCGUAGAGAUGUGGAGGAACACCAGUGGCGAAGGCGACUCUCUGGUCUGUAACUGACGCUGAGGAGCGAAAGCGUGGGGAGCGAACAGGAUUAGAUACCCCAGUAGUCCCUGUCUCUUAUAC
rnacentral:rRNA from 1 species